CAUUAUUGAAUAUUCUUGAUGGGUUGUAGCUGGCUCUUUGGAGCAUGUGCACGCCUGUCUUGAUUUAAUUCAUCCACCUGUGCACCUUUUGUAGUCUUGGGGGUUAAGCAGUCAACUAUCGGAUGUCAUCCGGAUGUGAGGAAUGCUGAGUGCGAAAGCAUACAGCUUUUCUCAAACUGACUUGUGGUCCCUCAAGUACUAUGUAUUCAUAUACCACUAGUAUGUUGCAGAAUGUGAUCAAUGGGCUUAUGCCUAUAAUAAUCAUAUACAACUUUCAGCAACGGAUCUCUUGGCUCUCGCAUCGAUGAAGAACGCAGCGAAAUGCGAUAAGUAAUGUGAAUUGCAGAAUUCAGUGAAUCAUCGAAUCUUUGAACGCACCUUGCGCUCCUUGGUAUUCCGAGGAGCAUGCCUGUUUGAGUGUCAUUAAAUUCUCAACCCCUCCAGCUUUUGUGAGUUGUUGAUGGGGCUUGGAUAUUGGGAGUUGCGGGCCUUUAUUAAGAGGUCGGCUCUCCUAAAAUGCAUUAGCGGAACCGUUUGCAGUCCCGUCACUAGUGUGAUAAUUAUCUACACUGUGAUGAUUGCUCUCUGACUAGUUCAGCUGCUAAUCGUCCAAUUGGACAACUUAAUGAACUUCUUGACCUCAAAUCAGGUAGGACUACCCGCUGAACUUAAGCAUAUCAAUAAGCGGAGGAAAAGAAACUAACAAGGAUUCCCCUAGUAACUGCGAGUGAAGCGGGAAAAGCUCAAAUUUAAAAUCUGACAGUCUC
rnacentral:rRNA from 1 species